rnacentral:rRNA from 1 species
AGUGAACGCUGGCGGUAGGCCUAACACAUGCAAGUCGAACGGCAGCACAGUAAGAGCUUGCUCUUACGGGUGGCGAGUGGCGGACGGGUGAGGAAUACAUCGGAAUCUACUUUUUCGUGGGGGAUAACGUAGGGAAACUUACGCUAAUACCGCAUACGACCUACGGGUGAAAGCAGUGGAUCUUCGGACCUUGCGCGAUUGAAUGAGCCGAUGUCGGAUUAGCUAGUUGGCGGGGUAAAGGCCCACCAAGGCGACGAUCCGUAGCUGGUCUGAGAGGAUGAUCAGCCACACUGGAACUGAGACACGGUCCAGACUCCUACGGGAGGCAGCAGUGGGGAAUAUUGGACAAAGGGCGCAAGCCUGAUCCAGCCAUACCGCGUGGGUGAAGAAGGCCUUCGGGUUGUAAAGCCCUUUUGUUGGGAAAGAAAAGCAGCAGGUUAAUACCCCGCUGUUCUGACGGUACCCAAAGAAUAAGCACCGGCUAACUUCGUG